rnacentral:tRNA from 1 species
ACCGAAAUAGCUCAGUCGGGAGAGCGUUAGUCUAGAUCGAAAGCUCCUGGUUCUAUCCUGGGAUUCGGCA